GAUGAACGCUGGCGGCGUGCCUAAUACAUGCAAGUCGAGCGGACGGACGAGAAGCUUGCGUCUCUGAUGUUAGCGGCGGACGGGUGAGUAACACGUGGAUAACCUACCUAUAAGACUGGGAUCACUUCGGGAAACCGGAGCUAAUACCGGAUAAUAUUUUGAACCGCAUGGUUCAAAAGUGAAAGACGGUCUUGCUGUCACUUAUAGAUGGAUACGCGCUGCAUUAGCUAGUUGGUAAGGUAAAGGCUUACCAAGGCAACGAUGCAUAGCCGACCGGAGAGGGUGAUCGGCCACACUGGAACGGGGACACGGUCCAGGCUCCUACGGGAGGCACCAGUAGGGAAUCGUCCGCAAUGGUCGAAAGCCUGACGGAGCAACGCCGCGUGUGUGAUGAAGGUCUUCGGAUCGUAAUACUCUGUUAUUAGUGAAGAACAUAUGUGUAAGUAACUGUGCACAUCUUGACGGUACCUAAUCAGAAAGCCACGGCUAACUACGUG
rnacentral:rRNA from 1 species